CCUCACACGAUUGAGCUUUUGCAUGCAUAUGAUGCAUGGAUGAAGCACAGGUGAAAUUAUUGGAUUGUUUGGACAGCUGAGCUCACUGUGACAUAAAGUUUCCCAAAGCAGAUAUGCACAUUAAUAAACACACACACACACCCUUGCUGACUGACACCGAUGCUGAUCGGGUAUCAGCUUUAUGUCACUGUUAAACCUAUGUGUCCUGAAUAUUUGGCUGUAAGUUGAUUUUCUGCAAGUUUGUAUCAAUCUGGGUUAUAGGCCUUUUGCUUUUUAUUUCAGACUGUGUACUCUCUGAAGUAAUCAGAAAUACCGGAUAUACGGUACAUGGAAGAAAGACGCAAACAAGUAAACAACAGACAAAUGCGUUCCAGCAAGCAGCUUGAUUUAAGACUGGGAGCUAGAGCUGGAGCUGGGAUGAAUGCCUCCCCCUGUCAUCAAUGGAGGCCAAUGCAGCCAGUUAAUCUGGGUCCUUGGAUCAGAACAGGUGAAUGGAGCGGACAGAUCUUAAAGGGAUACUUCAAGAUUUUGUCAAUGAGGCCCUUUAUAUACUUCCCCAGAGUCAGAUGAACUCGUGGAUACCAUUUUUAUAUCUCUGCAUGCAGUUUGAAGGAAGUUGCUAGCUAGCAUUAGCACAAUGACUGGAAGUCUAUGGGUAUCUGCUAGCAUUUAGCAUUGGCUUGCUAAACUACCUCUUACUUCCUUCAUGCUGGACACAGAGACAUACAAAUUGUAUUCACAAGUUCAUAUGACUCUGGGGAUGUAGAUCGAAUACGUUAUUGGCAAAAUCCCGAAGUAUCUUUUAUUUAUUUAUUUUAUUUUUUUUUGAGGUGGCCAAGCACAGCGCAUCACGAUGACAUGACUCACAACUCACACUUUUACUAUGUGUACAUUAAUAAUGUGCUAAGGCUCCUAGGAAGUCUGCUUUUCCUGUAAAGGGGGACUUUACAAAGACAGACCUUGCCACUCCACUGUUGCAGGUCGGCACAAGCAGAGAUAGACCACCUUUGAUAAAUGGCUGGCAGUGGAAAGUGAGAAAGACCUUGCUGCCUCUGCUCACUGCGUCAAGAGUUAUUUUAAACACUACCACAUGCAAGGAAGCACAUGGUGAUGGAUCCCAGAUGUGUG
rnacentral:lncRNA from 13 species